GACGAACGCUGGCGGCGUGCUUAACACAUGCAAGUCGAACGAAGUGGCGAACGGGUGAGUAACGCGUAAUCCACCUGCCCUUCAGAGGGGGACAACAGUUGGAAACGACUGCUAAUACCGCAUACUGAAGGAGGGGAUUGCGUUGGAUUAGCUAGUUGGAGGGGUAACGGCCCACCAAGGCGAUGAUCAGUAGGCGGUCUGAGAGGAUGGACGGGCACAUUGGGACUGAGGCACGGCCCAGACUCCUACGGGAGGCAGCAGGGGGGAAUCUUCCGCAAUGGACGGAAGUCUGACGGAGCCACGCCGCGGGAGAGAUGGCGGCCUUCGGGUUGGAAAGCUCUGUUAAUCGGGGCGCGGUACCGGAAUAGAAAGCAACGGCUAACUACGUGCCAGCAGCCGCGGUAAUAC
rnacentral:rRNA from 1 species